rnacentral:misc_RNA from 1 species
GAUGAAGAACGUAGCGAAAUGCGAUAAGUAGUGUGAAUUGCAGAAUUCAGUGAAUCAUCGAAUCUUUGAACGCACAUUGCGCCCGCUAGUAUUCUAGCGGGCAUGCCUGUUCGAGCGUCAUUUCAACCAUCAAGCCCCAGGCUUGUGUUGGAGCCCUGCGGCCGUCCGCAGCCUCCUAAAAUCAGUGGCGGGCUCGCUAUCACACCGAGUGCAGUAGUUUACUCUUCGCUCAGGACGUGUAGCGGGUUCCGGCCGUGAAACCCCCCAAUUUUCAAGGUUGACCUCGGAUCAGGUAGGAAUACCCGCUGAACUUAAGCAUAUCAAUAAGCGGAGGA